rnacentral:lncRNA from 1 species
AUUUCUUAAUCUAUUUCGUGUUACAAAUAUUAGAACAAAUAUUUGACGAAGUAGAACCAUCUCUAUCAAGAUGACAGACCCAUUCUCUGUACUAUCAAUAGGAUCAAUUAUAACAAGUCACACACUCAUACUCCGGAAAUACAGAAACAAAGAAAUUCCACAAUCGAACUACCACUUUUAUCAAUCUGAUUUAUUUCGUACCUUUCGUUCAAUGAGAAAAUGGGUCAAAUUCUACAGGAUCAAACCUAUGGGACUUAAGGAAUGAUAUA